rnacentral:piRNA from 1 species
UGGACAUUCCCUGGAUUAAGUGUCUUUUA